UUCAUUUAUUUUGAGUUAGAGGGAAGGACUCGACGAAUUGGUGCCUAGACUCGUCGAGUAGGAUCGCGAUUUGCUGACUGGAUUAAUGAAUGGACUCGGCGAGUCGGUAGGGUGACUCGAAGAGUCUGCGCUGAAGGCAGAAAUCCUAAAUCUGCGGGCCUGAGCCCGAUUUAAAGGCCUUUAUGGCCUUCUUUGCGGCCACUACUCUCCUGAGAAACCCUAGAGAGCAGAGAGAAGCUUGUAGUGCAAGAGGAAGUCUAAUCCAUCAUUCUUGAGUGUUUUAGCAAAGGGAAGGAAUGAUUUUGAGAUAGGCUGACUUGUGGGACUCAAAUCUUCCAUCAUUUCGUUCAGAACUGCUAUGAGAGGUAAGGAUUCAUGUCAAUCUUCGUUUGAGUAAUAAAUUUCAUGAAUCUAGGGUUUCUUCUCUUCUCUUUUGGUAGAGAUCUAGUGUGUGUGAUGUUCCCUUGUGACUAUAUAAUCAGAUCUGGACCUUGAGAGGUCCAGAGAGUCCCUAUCCUUCAGGUUUAUGCAGUCCCUAUGAGUUUUAGGGCCUAGGUUAUCAUAUUAAAGGAUAUUUUGGCAUAUAGAGAUAGUGUGAUGCAUGGGCCUAAAGUUCGAACCUUUACGUGAUUAUCAUGCUUAAGAAGGUCAGAUCUAUAGGCUAGAGAAGCAGAUCUGACCUUAGAAGGUCAUUUGAGUGAGAGCAUGGAAGCAACUCGUCGAGUUCAUAAUUGGACUCGACGAGUCGAGUGAGGCAUACGAGGAGUCAGAGGACACGCAUGAACUCACCGAGUCACACGAGUGCACUCGGCGAGUCCUGUCAAGUUUGACCGUUGACUUUCGUUGACUUUUAGGGUUUUGAUCAACAUUUGGACUUUUGGGCCAGGGAGGGGUAAAAUGGUCUUUUACCCUUCUGUGAGAUUUUAGAAAGGGAUUUAAUCUAGCCUUUGGGAGCCAUUAUUUAUUGGAGGAUAUUUUUUAUGUGGUUAGGCGGGGGCUAGAGCAGUAUAUUCGUGUGCGAGAUUAUCCGAGUUACCCGAGGUGAGUCUUCUCAUUAUACGUUACCUAGAGUGGUAUCUAUGUGUAGAACGGAGGGUCUUGUGUGCUAUGUGUAUAUAUGAGAUUAUGUGCAAUGUGAUAUAUGUAUGCUCUGUGAUUGUAUAGACUGGACCGGAGGGUCCAACGAUAUAGACCAGACCGAAGAGUCCAACAAUACAGAUCGGGCCGUGAGGAGCUUAUGAGAGGUCUACCGAAAGGUAGACUAUGCUAGUGAGAUGUAGAGUACUUGUGAUCUGGGAUCCAAGGAGGAGGACUUGGGGUCAAUAUUGAUGUGGUGUGGAAGGUAGUAUAGGGCCCGUACUACUGAAGACACCGGAUCAGUGCGCAACCCAAGUAAGAAUUCUUAGGAUACUAGGGAACAAGUAGGGUUGCGUUAUCGAGUGUGAGUAUGCUUGAACGAGUCUCUGAUAUUUUUAUGUUGUAUUUCAGAGACUUCAUGGUUGGGACACGCCACACACCUGAGAGCAGCAGUAUCAGUGACGAGGAGAUCCGCCGGUUGAUUCAUUAGGAGGUGGCUACAGUCAUCCGAGUUGAGAUACCAGAGAUGUUCGGAUAUAUCAAGACCAUGUUGAUCGAGACUUUUGAUGAGCGGUACGCCGCUCUUACUAAUGAUGCUGUUUCUGCGGCCACCGCAGCCGUCGCUUCUGCCAGGCCACAGGGAGGUGACUCGUUGCUGUACCGAGAGCUCAGCAACAUGAAGCCACCUGAGUUUGAAGGGACACAGGAUCCGAUCGCUGCGACGAGAUGGAUUGCUGAUAUUGAGCGAUGUUUCUAUACCUGCUCAUAUCCGGAGCAUUUUUAGAGUACGGUUCGUGCUGAACCAGCUUCGCUUGGGAGCGAAGGACUGGUGGAAGUUUGUAUCGGCAGAUUUUACCCCCGCUGAGCUUACUGCGGUGACCUAUGGAGAGGGAACGACUGGCUCAGGAGUUUUUGACCCUCAAGCAUGGUACUGAUUCUGUUACUGUGAUUACCCGAAAGUUUCAUGAGAGGGCGAUGUUUUGCCCUGAGCAGGUGUCUACCGAGCAGACAUGCAUGAGCCGAUAUCUAAGCGUUCUGAGGAAAUAUAUUCGCAAGUUCGUGGCGAACUCGGCAUACCGGACAUUUGCCAAACUUCAGGAAAAUGCUCGAAAGAGGGACACCGAGCUAGAGACUCAGGCCAGGGAGGAGGCGGAGUGUCAGGGGAGGGAUCGGCGGCCGGCACAAUCUCAGCCGACAGCCAAGCGGGCAAAGCCCGCUGAUUCGAGAUAUGGGGGUCUGAAGGGCCGCAGUUAUGGGAAGUGCGACAAGAGUCACGAGGGGGUGUGCAGAGUUGGGGUGUGUUACAAGUGUGGAAAGGAGGGGUAUUAUGCAAGGGAUUCCUCUAAAGGAUUCUCGGUUUGCUUUCAUUGCAACGAGACCGACCAUCGGAAGGCCGAGUGCCCUCAGCUACUUCACAAAUCAGCAUAGGGAUCUGCACCUGCUGCUAGAGCUACCGAGACCCGGCCAAUGAAGGCCGAGGCACCGAAGGACCAUGGGAGAGCCUUCCAGUUGACAGUGGAGGAGGUCCGCGCAGCGCCCGAUGUCGUGGCUGGUAUGUAUCCUUUCAUUUAUUAAUAUUGAAUGGAGAUAUUGUGCUUAUUUUAUGAUAUGCAUAGGUACUUUUCUUGUGAAUUUUGUACCUGCUUUGUUGUUAUUUGACUCGGGUGCGAGUCGGUCAUUUGUGUCCUUAGCAUUUAGUCAGCACAUCAGUAUUCGGCGAGAGGCGUUGAGUCGACCUCUACGAGUUUCUAUAGCUGACGAGCGAGUGGUGUAUGCUACGGAUGUGAUUCGAGGAUGUGUACUCGAGAUCUUCGGUGUUGAUUUCCCAAUAGAUCUGGUCCUGAUUGCGAUGGGGGACGUGUGUGUCACAGUGGGUAUGGAUUGGUUGAGCCGAUUUGGAGCUGUUAUAGACUGUGAGCGACAGUUGGUGAAGAUACGAGACCCUAGUCGGGGAGUACUUACUGUGUACGACAAGGGUACCCGUUGUGGGUCAGCAUUCUGUUCGGCUGCCAGAGCGAGACAGAGUUUACAGCAGGGCUGCAGCGGGUUUGUAGCCUAUGUGAUGGAUAUGCGAGUGGCCGUGUAGAGGCCGAGUUCGAUUGAUGCUGUUCCGAUAGUGCGCGAGUUCCUGAAUUUUUUUCCCGAGGAGUUGCCGGGUGUGCCUCCCGAGAGGCAGGUAGAGUUCUGCAUCGAUUUGGUUCCGGGGGCAGUGCCUAUCGCCAAGGCGCCUUAUUGACUUGCGCCACCAUAGAUGCAUGAGUUAUCCUCGCAGCUUUAGGAGCUGCUGGGGAAGGGGUUUAUUAGACCGAGUAGCUCGUCGUAGGGAGCGCCGAUCCUUUUUGUCAAGAAAAAGGAUGGUUCACACUGGAUGUGCAUUGAUUACCGGGAGUUGCACAAGUUGACGGUCAAGAACUUUUAUCCAGUGCUGAGGAUCGACGAUUUGUUCGACUAGUUGCAGGGAGCGUCUUGGUUCUCCAAGAGAGACUUGAGGUUCGGAUAUCCUCAGAUGAGGUUGCAGGAUGAAGAUAUCCAGAAGACGGCGUUCAGAACUCGUUAUGGGCAUUACGAGUUCGUGGUGAUGCCUUUUGGGCUCACCAACGCAUCGGCAGCGUUCAUGGAUCUCAUGAACAGGGUGUGUAGGCCGAUGCUUGACCGCUCAGUGAUCGUGUUUAACAACAAUAUUCUGGUAUACUCGAGAUCUAGGGAGCAGCAUGAGGAGCAUCUGAGAGAGAUUCUCGUGGUAUUGAGGUUGGAGAGGCUUUUCGCCAAAUUCUCCAAGUGUGAAUUACAAGAGGUCCAGUUCUUGGGACACCUCGUUCACCAGAAUAGGAUAUUGGUCGAUCCGGCCAAGAUUGAAGCGGUUAUGAGGUGGGGGGUGCCGAGAUCACCCGCUGAUAUUAGGAGUUUUCUGGGAUUGGCCGGCUACUAUCGGAGAUUUAUCAAGGAUUUCUCCAAAAUUGUCGUGCCUCUCACCAGGUUGACCCGGAAGGGUGUUGCUUUUUCGUGGGAUCUGGAGCAACAGACCUCGUUUGAGACACUUCUCUAGAGGCUAUGCGAGGCCCCGGUGUUAGCCCUCCCGGAAGGGAUGGAGGAUUUUGUAGUGUAUUGUGACGUAUCGAUAUCAGGUUUGGGUGCAAUACUUAUGCAGAGGGGUCAUGUGAUAGCAUAUGCAUCAAGGCAGCUGAAGCCUCAUGAGAUGAGGUAUCCCACCCACGAUCUGGAGUUGGGGACAAUGGUGUUCGCCCUCAAGAUCUGGCAUCACUAUCUGUAUGGGCUUCGGUGUACCAUAUACACGGACCACAAGAUCUUGAAGUAUUUGAUGGAUCAGCCCAACCUGAAUAUGCGCCAGAGGAGAUGGUUGGAUGUGGUAAAGGAUUACGAUUGUGAGAUCCUGUACCACCCCGGCAAAGCUAAUGUUGUAGCUGAUGCCCGGAGCUGUAGGGCGGAGAGUGCCCUGAUUCGAGACAUUUGUAUGCGGUUGACGGUGACGACUUUGGUGUUGGACACCAUUCGAGAGGCCCAGGCAGAGGUUGUGAGACCGGAGAACCGCAAGAAAGAGCGGGUGAUUGGGCAGGUAUCUGAGUUCGUUACCGAUAGCCGAGGGAUUAUGACCUUUCAGGGUCGGAUUUGGGUGUCAUAUGCAGGUGGGGCACGUACCACCUUGAUGGAGGAGGCGCACAUAUCGAGGUUCUCGAUCCAUCCCGAGGCCACUAAGAUGUAUUUGGACCUGAAGAAAGAUUAUUGGUGGCCCUGUAUGAAGAGGGAUAUUGCAUGGUUUGUUGAGAGGUGCUUGACAUCUCACAGGGUUAAGGCCGAGCACCAGCGUCCGCACGACAAGUUGAAGCCACUUGAGGUUCCCCAGUGGAAGUGGGAAUAGAUUUCCAUGGAUUUUAUCACCAAGUUUCCAAGGACCGUGAGGGGUGUCAAUGCGAUUUCGGUGAUUGUCAACCGAUUGACGAAGAGCGCUCACUUACUUGCUAUUAGUGAGAGCUCUUCUACAGAGAGAUUGGUAGAGCUGUAUGUGAGGGAGGUGGUAUCGCGACAUGGUGUACCAAUCUCGAUUGUGUCAGAUCGAGACGUACAUUUCACUUCCAGAUUCUGGAAGAAAUUCCAUGACGAGUUGGGUACGAGGUUGUAUUUCAGCACCGCAUACCACCCACAGACGGACGGACGGAGUGAGCGAACGAUUCAGACGCUCGAGGACAUGCUUCUAGCAUGUGUGUUGGACUUCGGAGGAAGUUGGGACACAUACCUACCAUUGGUUGAGUUUUCCUAUAACAACAACCACCAUUCGAGUAUUGGUAUGCCUCCCUUCGAGUUGUUGUACGGGAGGAGGUGUCGGACUCCCAUUUGCUGGGGAGAGGUAGGGCAACACAUGAUGGGCAACAUUGAGAUAGUUCUUCAAACGACCUAGUAGAUACAACAGGUUAGACAGAGGUUGUUGAUAGCUUAGAGGCACCAGAAGAGCUAUGCGGAUAGGCGACGAUCCAAGAUGGAGUUCCAGGUGGGAGACUUUCGUACUCCUGAAGGUGUCUCCUUGGAAAGGAGUGAUUUGAUUCAGGAAGAGGGGCAAGCUGGGGCCCCGAUACAUUAGGCCGUUCAGGGUAACCACGAGGGUGGGCAGGCUAGCAUAUCUGUUGGAGCUACUUACGGAGUUGAGCCAGAUUCAUGAUACCUUCCACGUGUAUCAAUUCAGGAAGUGUAUAGCAGACGAGUCGAUGGUGGUGCCGCUGGAGGAUAUUCAGGUGGAUGCGAGCCUGAAUUAUGUUGAGAGACCGAUCGCGAUCCUGGAUCGAAAGAUCAAGGUUCUGAGUAACAAGGAAGUGCCUCUGGUUCAGGUCCAGUGGAAACAUCGGAGGGAGUCCGAGCUGACUUGGGAGCCGGAGUUGGAGAUGCGAAAGCAACAUCUUGAGUUAUUUACCGAGCGAGACUUCGAGGACGAAGUCUGAUUCUAGUGGGGAAGAAUAGUAACAUCCGAAUUCCCAAGUAUUCUAUUUUGUUCAUUUAUUUUGAGUUAGAGGGAAGGACUCUACAAGUUGGUGCCUAGACUCGUCAAGUAGGAUCGCGAUUUGCUGACUGAAUUAAUGAAUGGACUUGGCAAGUCGGUAGGGUGACUCGAUGAGUCUAUGCUGAAGGCAGAAACCCUAAAUCUGCAGGCCUGAUCCCUAUUUAAAGGCCUUUAUGGCCUUCAUUUGCGGCCACUACUCCCCUGAGAAACCCAAGAGAGCAUAGGGAAGCUUAUAGUGCAAGAGGAAGUCUAAUCCAUCAUUCUUGAGUGUGUUUUAGCAAAGGGAAGGAAGGAUUUCGAGCUAGGCUGACUUGUGGGACUCACAUCUUCCAUUAUUUCGUUCAGAGUUGCUGUGAGAGGUAAGGAUUCAUGUCCAUCUUCAUUUGAGUAAUAGAUUUCAUGAAUCUAAGGUUUCUUCUCUUCUCUUUUGGUAGAGAUCUAGUGUGUGUGAUGUUCCCUUGUGACAAUAUUAUCAGAUCUAGACCUUGAGAGGUCCAGAGAGUCCCUAUCCUUCAGCUUUAUGCAGUCCCUAUGAGUUUUGGGGCAUAGGUUAUCAUAUUAAAGGAUAUUUUGGCAUAUAGAGAUGAUAGUGUGAUGCAUGGGCCUAAAGUUCGAACCUUUACGUGAUUAUCAUGCUUGGGAAGGUCAGAUCUAUAGGCUAGAGAAGCAGAUCUAACCUCAGAAGGUCAUUUGAGUGAGAGCAUGGAAGCAACUUGCCGAGUUCAUAAUUGGACUCGACGAGUCGAGUCGGGUUGCCCUGCGAUUCGUUUCCAGUGGUAAACCGUCGAGUGGAAGGUUCACUCGACGAGUCGAGUGAGGCAUACGAGGAGUCAGAGGACAGGCAUGAACUCGCCGAGUCACACGAGUGCACUUGGCGAGUCAUGUCAAGUUUGACCGUUG
rnacentral:lncRNA from 1 species